rnacentral:rRNA from 1 species
UGGGGAAUAUUGCACAAUGGGCGCAAGCCUGAUGCAGCCAUGCCGCGUGUGUGAAGAAGGCCUUCGGGUUGUAAAGUACUUUCAGCGGGGAGGAAGGCGUUAAGGUUAAUAACCUUGGCGAUUGACGUUACCCGCAGAAGAAGCACCGGCUAACUCCGUGCCAGCAGCCGCGGUAAUACGGAGGGUGCAAGCGUUAAUCGGAAUUACUGGGCGUAAAGCGUACGCAGGCGGUCUGUCAAGUCGGAUGUGAAAUCCCCGGGCUCAACCUGGGAACUGCAUUCGAAACUGGCAGGCUAGAGUCUUGUAGAGGGGGGUAGAAUUCCAGGUGUAGCGGUGAAAUGCGUAGAGAUCUGGAGGAAUACCGGUGGCGAAGGCGGCCCCCUGGACAAAGACUGACGCUCAGGUGCGAAAGCGUGGGGAGCAAACAGG